rnacentral:rRNA from 1 species
GAUGAACGCUGGCGGCGUGCCUAAUACAUGCAAGUCGAGCGAACAGACGAGGAGCUUGCUCCUCUGACGUUAGCGGCGGACGGGUGAGUAACACGUGGAUAACCUACCUAUAAGACUGGGAUAACUUCGGGAAACCGGAGCUAAUACCGGAUAAUAUAUUGAACCGCAUGGUUCAAUAGUGAAAGACGGUUUUGCUGUCAAUUAUAGAUGGAUCCGCGCCGCAUUAGCUAGUUGGUAAGGUAACGGCUUACCAAGGCGACGAUGCGUAGCCGACCUGGGAGGGUGGUUCGCCCAACCUGAAACUGAGACCGGUGCCGACCCCUACGGGAGGGCACCAGUAGGAAUCUUACGCCAAGGGGCAAAAACCUACCGUACCACGCCGCGUGAGUGUAGAAGGUCUUCCGAAUCGAAAACCCCGUUAAUUGGGGAAAACAAAUGUUUAAAGUACCAUGCACGGCUUUAACGUAACCAAUCAGAAAGCCAACGCUAACCUACUG